rnacentral:tRNA from 1 species
GGAGGCGAAUCCGUUCUGGUGAACGGCGCGGUCUUCAAAACCGCUCGUGAGACACGCGAAAGCACGCUCAGGUGGGUUCGAUUCCCACACGCCUCCGCCA